UACGGAGGAUGCAAGCGUUAUCCGGAUUCAUUGGGUUUAAAGGGUGCGUAGGUGGGUUUGUAAGUCAGUGGUGAAAUAUUGUCGCUUAACGAUAAGGUUGCCAUUGAUACUGCAGGUCUUGAGUUUGGUUGAGGUAGGCGGAAUGUGCAGUGUAGCGGUGAAAUGCAUAGAGAUUGCACAGAACUCCGAUUGCGAAGGCAGCUUACUAAACUACUACUGACGCUCAGGCACGAAGGCGUGGGGAUCAAACAGGAUUAGA
rnacentral:rRNA from 1 species